AACGAACGCUGGCGGCAGGCCUAACACAUGCAAGUCGAGCGAGAUCUUCGGGUCUAGCGGCGGACGGGUGAGUAACGCGUGGGAAUAUGCCUCUUGGUACGGAAUAGCCUCGGGAAACUGGGAGUAAUACCGUAUGUGCCCUUUGGGGGAAAGAUUUAUCGCCAAGAGAUUAGCCCGCGUUGGAUUAGGUAGUUGGUGGGGUAAUGGCCUACCAAGCCGACGAUCCAUAGCUGGUUUGAGAGGAUGAUCAGCCACACUGGGACUGAGACACGGCCCAGACUCCUACGGGAGGCAGCAGUGGGGAAUCUUAGACAAUGGGGGCAACCCUGAUCUAGCCAUGCCGCGUGAGUGAUGAAGGCCUUAGGGUUGUAAAGCUCUUUCAGCUGGGAAGAUAAUGACGGUACCAGCAGAAGAAGCCCCGGCUAACUCCGUGC
rnacentral:rRNA from 1 species